GCGUCCGUAGCUCAGCUGGAUAGAGUACGGGAUUUCUAAUCCCGGUGUCGUAGGUUCGAAUCCUACCGGACGCGCCA
rnacentral:tRNA from 1 species